CCAGCUCUGUAUUUGGCCAUCUCUUCAUUAAGACAAGCCACUUCUGACCAGGUUCUCUGCUUCCAGAAAGAUAUCACUCCCCACCCUUAUUGGAGAAGUGCUUUCUCCACCCUCCACCCCCCGCCAUACCUCCAUUACCUGCCACACAGGUUCUAUUCCAAGUCUUCUCAGUGCAAAUUGGAUGGGUUAAUGAAGAAGGUGCUGACAUGUGAGGUAUGACAUCUCACUUGGAAUAAAUUAUGGGUCCCUCUUUUAUUUAAUGAAAGCAAAUUUAAGUGUAGAAAUCAUCUGAAACAGAUGGUUCAGCAGAGCACUUUGUAUGAGAACCGAGGUCACAGCUAACACUGUAGACGGUAGGUUUAUACAUUAAUUGUGACAGGCUUUGGGCAGAUAGUGAAAAAGUACUUGGUACUAAAAAUAUCAGAAUAUAAGUCUUGUACUAAAAAAGUCAGUAGAACACAAACAACAUAAAUAAACCUGAAAAAUAUUGUGCU
rnacentral:lncRNA from 1 species